rnacentral:rRNA from 1 species
AUUGAACGCUGGCGGAAUGCUUUACACAUACAAGUCGAACGGCAGCACGGGGCAACCUGGUGGCGAGUGGCGAACGGGUGAGUAAUACAUCGGAACGUGCCCAAUCGUGGGGGAUAACGUAGCGAAAGUCACGCUAAUACCGCAUACGAUCUACGGAUGAAAGCGGGGGAUCGCAAGACCUCGCGCGAAUGGAGCGGCCGAUGUCAGAUUAGGUAGUUGGUGGGGUAAAGGCUCACCAAGCCAACGAUCUGUAGCUGGUCUGAGAGGACGACCAGCCACACUGGGACUGAGACACGGCCCAGACUCCUACGGGAGGCAGCAGUGGGGAAUUUUGGACAAUGGGCGCAAGCCUGAUCCAGCCAUUCCGCGUGCAGGAUGAAGGCCUUCGGGUUGUAAACUGCUUUUGUACGGAACGAAAAAGCUCUCUCUAAUACAGGGGGUGAAUGACGGUACCGUAAGAAUAAGCACCGGCUAACUACAUGCCAGCCGCCGCAGUAAUAC